CUGGUCUCCGAGCCGUACUUGUUCUUCACCACCAGCCCGUACUUGCCGGAGUCGGCUGUGCUCACACCCGAGAUGGUGAAGUAGGCUGUCUUCCCAGCCUCGAAGCGCAGGUUGCAGUGGUCGUCAGAGGCCAGCGGCCGCUCGUUCUUCAGCCAGGAGACCUCGGGCACUGGGUCGCCCCACACAGAGCAGGAAUGCACCGCCCUCCUUUUACGAGCCUUGCCUGUGACAACUGAUGCCACCAGCUGUCUCACAUACACCCUGCCCUAGUUCUUCCCACGCUUGUAAUCAGUUGAUACUGGAGGUCUUGGGUGCCUGGUGUCUCUGCUGCCCAGAUCAGCUCAGAUGAUCCCAGACCCCUGCUUUCUGUUUAA